rnacentral:rRNA from 2 species
GCUAAUMCAUGCUAAAAAUCCCGACUUCGGAAGGGAUGUAUUUUUAGAUUAAAAACCAAUGCCCUCUGGGCUCCUUGGUGAUUCAUAAUAACUUUUCGAAUCGCAUGGCCUUGCGCCGGCGAUGGUUCAUUCAAAUUUCUUCCCUAUCAACUUUCGAUGUUUGGGUAUUGGCCAAACAUGGUCGCAACGGGUAACGGAGGGUUAGGGCUCGACCCCGGAGAAGGAGCCUGAGAAACGGCUACUACAUCCAAGGAAGGCAGCAGGCGCGCAAAUUACCCAAUCCCGAUUCGGGGAGGUAGUGACAAUAAAUACUGAUACAGGGCUCUUUUGGGUCUUGUAAUUGGAAUGAGUACAAUUUAAAUCUCUUAACGAGGAACAAUUGGAGGGCAAGUCUGGUGCCAGCAGCCGCGGUAAUUCCAGCUCCAAUAGCGUAUAUUAAAGUUGUUGUGGUUAAAAAGCUCGUAGUUGAACCUUGGGCCUGGCUGGCCGGUCCGCCUCACCGCGUGUACUGGUCCGGCCGGGCCUUUCCCUCUGUGGAACCUCAUGCCCUUCACUGGGUGUGGCGGGGAAACAGGACUUUUACUUUGAAAAAAUUAGAGUGCUCCAGGCAGGCCUAUGCUCGAAUACAUUAGCAUGGAAUAAUAAAAUAGGACGUGUGGUUCUAUUUUGUUGGUUUCUAGGACCGCCGUAAUGAUUAAUAGGGACAGUCGGGGGCAUCAGUAUUCAAUUGUCAGAGGUGAAAUUCUUGGAUUUAUUGAAGACUAACUACUGCGAAAGCAUUUGCCAAGGAUGUUUUCAUUAAUCAGGAACGAAAGUUAGGGGAUCGAAGACGAUCAGAUACCGUCGUAGUCUUAACCAUAAACUAUGCCGACUAGGG